rnacentral:misc_RNA from 1 species
GAUGAAGAACGUAGCGAAAUGCGAUAAGUAAUGUGAAUUGCAGAAUCCAGUGAAUCAUCGAAUCUUUGAACGCACAUUGCGCCCGCCAGCAUUCUGGCGGGCAUGCCUGUUCGAGCGUCAUUUCAACCCUCGACCUCCCCUUAGGGAGGUCGGCGUUGGGGACCGGCAGCACACCGCCGGCCCUGAAAUGGAGUGGCGGCCCGUCUGCGGCGACCUCUGCGUAGUAAUACAGCUCGCACCGGAACCCCGACGCGGCCACGCCGUAAAACACCCAACUUCUGAACGUUGACCUCGAAUCAGGUAGGACUACCCGCUGAACUUAAGCAUAUCAAUAAGCGGAGGA